rnacentral:rRNA from 1 species
CAAUGGACGAAAGUCUGACCGAGCGACGCCGUGUGCGGGAUAAAGGCCCUCGGGUUGUAAACCGUUGUCAGUUGGGAGGAAAGGUCUGUGCAGAGCAGACCCUGACCGAUCUUCAGAGGAAGGACGGGCUAAGUUCGUGCCAGCAGCCGCGGUAAGACGGACCGUCCAAACGUUAUUCGGUAUCACUGGGCUUAAAGCGUGCGUAGGCGGCCAGGUAGGUGAGAUGUGAAAGCCCACGGCUCAACCGUGGAAUUGCGUUUCAAACCCUCUGGCUUGAGGGAGACAGGGGUGUUGGGAACUUAUGGUGGAGCGGUGAAAUGCGUUGAUAUCAUAGGGAACACCGGUGGCGAAGGCGCAACACUGGGUCUUUUCUGACGCUGAGGCACGAAAGCUAGGGUAGCGAACGGGAUUAGAUACCCCGGUAGUCCUAGCCGUAAACGAUGAGCACUGGGUUGAGGGGACUUCCACAUCUUCUCGGCCGUAGCGAAAGCGUUAAGUGCUCCGCCUGGGGAGUAUGGUCGCAAGGCUGAAACUCAAAGGAAUUGACGGGGGCUCACACAAGCGGUGGAGGAUGUGGCUUAAUUCGAGGAUACGCGAAGAACCUUAUCCUAGAUUUGACAUGCUUGAGAGUCUCUAUGAAAGUAGAGAGUGCCCUUCGGGGAGCUCUUGCACAGGUGCUGCAUGACUGUCGUCAGCUCGUGUCGUGAGAUGUCGGGUUAAGUCCCUUAACGAGCGAAACCCUUAUCUCUAGUUGCUAGCGGGUCAAGCCGAGGACUCUAGAGAGACUGCCGGUGUCAAACCGGAGGAAGGUGGGGAUGACGUCAAGUCCUCAUGGCCUUUAUGUCUAGGGCUGCACACGUCCUACAAUGGUACGGACAAAGGGAAGCCAAGCCGCGAGGUGGAGCAAAUCCCAAAAACCGUGCCCCAGUUCGGAUUGCAGGCUGCAACUCGCCUGCAUGAAGCCGGAAUCGCUAGUAAUCGUGGGUCAGCAUACCACGGUGAAUGUGUUCCUGAGCCUUGUACACACCGCCCGUCAAGCCACGAAAGUUGGGAGGGCCCGAAGUCGCUGAGCGAACAGUUUACUGGCGCAGGCGCCGAAGGUCAGCUCGACAAUUGGGACUAA